rnacentral:rRNA from 1 species
AGUGAACGCUGGCGGUAGGCCUAACACAUGCAAGUCGAACGGCAGCACAGUAAGAGCUUGCUCUUACGGGUGGCGAGUGGCGGACGGGUGAGGAAUACAUCGGCAUCUACUUUUUCGUGGGGGAUAACGUAGGGAAACUUACGCUAAUACCGCAUACGACCUACGGGUGAAAGCAGGGGAACUUCGGACCUUGCGCGAUUGAAUGAGCCGAUGUCGGAUUAGCUAGUUGGCGGGGUAAAGGCCCACCAAGGCGACGAUCCGUAGCUGGUCUGAGAGGAUGAUCAGCCACACUGGAACUGAGGCACGGUCCAGACUCCUACGGGAGGCAGCAGUGGGAGAUAUUGGACAAUGGGCGCAAGCCUGAUCCAGCCAUACCGCGUGGGUGAAGAAGGCCGUCGGGUUGUAAAGCCCUUUUGUUGGGAAAGAAAAGCAGCAGGUUAAUACCCCGCUGUUCUGACGGUACCCAAAGAAUAAGCACCGGCUAACUUCGUG